UAUGAAAUCCCUGUAGUGGUGUUCAUUUGAACGAAAGCCUGGUUGUCCACGCUGACGUCUCUACUUGGCCAGAUGUAGCUUCAUAACGUGGGUUUUAAGUGGACUUAAAACCAUAGUGGAGUAAGUUGUACAAGUUGUAACUGUACAGCCUGUAAACUGUGUCACCCACCAAAGCUCAUUUCCGCAGAUAGCACAGCUGGCGAUUGAAGCAUGGUAAUCAUUUUACAGCUACUCAUUACACUGAAUAAAAGCACCAGGUAUGCCAGGUGAGAGGAGA